CCUCAGCGGGUGCGGGAAGCGCCGCGUCCUGGGUCCCGGCGAUGCGGCGACACUUCCCGGGCGGGAAGCCGGGCUUGGUUUGCUGCAGGUCCCGUUGCUCGUGGGGCCGCCGCCCAGGCUGCGAGACCCGCCGGGGCUGCGCAAAUAGUGCUCUCUGUGGCUGCAAGCGGGACAUUUUCCCCACGGAUGGCUGGUGGAUCUUUCUGACCUGCGAUAAUGCCAUCAAGCUAGCCAAUGUGGAGAGCCUCCAUGGAAAGAUGCUUCCCUUCCUCAAGAUGGACAUAGGAGGAUCAGAGGGGACUCCCCCACCCUGGAGGACAUCCAUUUGCACCAGGACAGGAUUCUGCACGAUGUCAUAGAGAACAGUGUAAGGAGGACAAGGACACUCACCGGGGAGGGCUAGCCCAGCCUGAAAACACUCCUACGGGCACAGUGUUUACGCUCAAACACAGGACCACGUGCAUUUUGUGAGAUGGAGCCCUGCACUCCACAGCAUCCUUGUCAUUCACCAGCAGGUGACUUUGCCUCCCCAAACCAUUUUCUCACUCUCUGCCUCACUUCCCCAAGGCACUCUGUGUGGCCGCAAAGGGCACAUCCCCACCAGUGAGUCCUGACUGAUGCUUCUGACCUGCAGUCAUGCCCUCAAGCCAGCCAAUGUGAAGAGUCUGCUUGGCAGGGGCGCCGUUUCGUCAAGGCAAGCACUCAGCAGGAGACCUCAUUGCUCAUUGUCGAGUUCAGAGUGAAACCACAGACCUGGCAGUUACCUACACAGCACUGGGCCUCUCUAGGAGCUGGGUGGGUCAGCCUGGAACCCACCCCGGCCUCCCUCCCCACCCCCACCCCGCUCAGUGCGCACCCAGUGCCCCCUCCCUGUGGCAGUGGACAUUGUUCCUUCUGGGGGUGGGCUUGGCAGGGAGCCGGGGGCCAUGCGGAAGCAGAAGGGGAAGCGUAGUAUGUGUUCCCAGCUAUGAAGUAACUCCCCACUGCAGUGCUUGGGAAGUAACCUGCACUCCUUGUGGGUAUGUUGAGAUUCCCUGUAAAGCUGUAAAUGUCACGUGCUCCUCACUCUGGGUUUGGCCAAGAAGACCUCUUCCCGCUCUCCCCAUGCUUUCCCUCUUGUUAGGGAGAGGAAGAGGGGUAAGGGGUCUUGCCUUACCCUCCCACCCCCACCCCACGCCUGGGGAGUUCAUACCAGCCAGCCCAGGUCACUCCCCACAUAGUCACACCCUGUGACCCUUCGACUGGGUAUCAGAGUCCUCGCUGGAGCUGGGAGAGGACAGGGCAUUCUGGAACCUUAAAGGGGCCACUGAGUAAGAAACACCUGUCUUGGCCAGGUGGGGAGGAGCCACCACAGCCUCCUCCUAGUCUGCUCCCCACCUCACAGCACAGAGCUGGUGUUUCUGGUCCCUUCUGUGCUAAGAGAACCAGAAGGGGAGGAAGGGGAUGUGCCGCAGGUGGCAGGCCUCCAGCAGGGUGGCCAGGGCUGGUGGGGGGCAGCUGCUCGCUCUUCCUCAUCUGGGGAUCCUAUUGUCUCCUGCCAUUGAGUAGGCAGGCCCAGUCACCCCCAACUCCUCCAAAUUGUGUGAAAUGGAAAUCUACUUGCUCCUUACCCAUCUUGAAAGCUGAAGGGGGAUGUCCGGUUGUGUCUGCCCUUGGCGAUCGGGGCACACACACCCCUUCACAGCUGUGCCAAAUGAAGGGUGGUAAGGGAGCAGGACAAAGUCUGGUUUAUCUGUGUCUUUGGAUGGAGUCUUAAGCUCUCGCAGAGAGAAGCUUCUGAAGGUUAUAUAGUAUUUUCACUUGUUCUUAUAGAAGAAAAAAAAUGAAAUUUUAAACUAAUUGUGCCUCAGAACAGGUACAAUGAAGUAUCCUAGAUGUGUGCAGAUGUGCACCACCUCUGUUGCUUUCUCUCUGCACCCCUGGUCACCUUUGAGAAGCCAAAGCAGGCCAUCAGGAAGAGCCAGAGUUCACGUCUUUUGUUCUCUGAGCCCACAGUCUGGUCUACCCUAAACUUAUAUCCUGAACAGAGCGAGCAUAGAAGACAGCACUCUGGCUGUGAGAAGAAAUACAUAAAUUAAGAAACAGCAAAAACUUUUGCUCAUGGGAAAGAGACCGUCCUCUUCAAAGGAUGCCAAUGACAGGGCUAUUAGAUUUUGACUGAGUACAUGCAAACACUGCUUCUGGAGAUUUCCCUAUGCACAGGAAACGGGGGAUGAAUUUCCACCUAACUUGAUGGAAAAAAACCAUCAUCCAAAGCCAAGCCUGGCCCCGUUGGGAAAGGGGCCUGAGGAACCCGGUUUCCUUCGUCUAGACUUGUGCAUCUUGGCUCAGGGCAGAAGCUCCCUGGGGGUUGUGGAAUAGACUAGACCCGACAGAUUGAGCAUUGAAUCUGAGUUUUGUGGUAACCUCUCUCAUGGUUUCCAUUUCCCCUGCUCGACUAGGACUGUUCUGGCCCUCAGAGGCUGCUUGAAGGCUGCAUGAUGGGGCACUUGUCUCUCUCCUCUGAUCUGGGUAGGAAAGAGCCUUGUAGAGAACAGGAGUUCCAGUCUAAAAGCUCUUCCUGAACCCAGACUUCCUCCUUGUUCUGCCUUUCCUUGCAUAUUGGGAAUCUCUGCUUCCAUCCGGCUUUCUUCCCUAGGGUCAGUCCCAAGGCCAGCAUGCACCGCUGAGACCCAGGGGUCCCCAGGGUCCAUAGCAUCCACUUCACCUUCAUCUGGGCCUGUACUUCAUGGGGCUGGUUCUGCCAUGGGUUUUUGCAGUAGGCCUUCUUGCCCCUUGCCUUUUUUACUGGGACUGAAGCCACUGAGAAUAGCUCAUUCUCUUUUUACUCAUGUUCAUUUGGAAGGAACCUGUGUGCUCUAUGGCAGGACUGGCAGAAUCUCACUCACAAGGAUCUCACUGGCCUGGGCAGAGUGGCUCUUUCUUUUGACCUGGGUGUCCCACAGUCCUUUCUGCCUCCCAACGUGCUCUCCGUCACUGAGGCACGGAGUGUCAUCUCGCUCAGCUCUUGGGGCUGCAUUUUUUUUUUCUGGCUCCUUCUUGCAGCCUGAAGCUUAGCCUGCUCCCACUGAUGCUGGCCACUUUCUCCAGCUUCCCAGUUGGCACCCAGCAUCUGGAAGGGUGCAGAUUCUGAUUGGCCUUGCUCUGGGGAUGAGACUCAGAGAGACCAGGAGCCAGGCCAUCUGAGGCCUGUGGCUACAGCUGGGACUCUGUGCCCAAUGGAAAAAUUAAUGUAACCAAGUUGCUGCUCUUUAAAAGCAUGGUUUUCCUAGAUCUUAGCAGGCCACGUCCUUACUGGUGUGGGAUAUUGCUUGCUUACUGAAGUCCCUAGUCACUCAGAUCUCAUCUACCUUAUGGCAAUUUCCCAGGCACAGUCUCCCAAAGUCUCCCAAUCAUUCUUGAGGAGCAUGGUGCUGUUUGAACUUGACUAUUUCUUGAUCUUCUUGGCCCCUGAAAUUCGUAAAUUCUUUGCUAACCUUUUUUUUUCCUAAAGAGGAAAUUCAGAUAUUCACGAAAUGUGGCUGAACUGGACUUUGGUAAACUCGUAGUCUUUGAGGUUGGUGUCAUGCCUUGGUCCCUUGAGCCUUAUGUAUACUCAGAAUAUCUUUUUUUUUUUUUUUUUGACCUUCCAUGAUUACUCACUCUUGAAAUGCCUCUUGAUUAUGGUUGAGGAGCAUUGGGGUCUUCUCCCUCUAUUUUUUUCCCAGGACAUACGACCAUGGAUAUAUCAUAAAGCCAUCUCCACUAACUUCUUCCUGCUGUGAAAACUGAGCUUAGAAGAGAUGCUUUCCUUCUUUGGUGAGGCUGACAUUGACAGACUUCAGCAUUCAAUGUCUGACAUGUUUGGGAGAGAAGAGGCAAGCCAAGAGGGGUUGUCUGGAGUUGACCUCCAUGGGACAGUGUUCAGUUGGAUUGGAAUUGACUGGUGAUAGUGGUGUAGAGAAAACUGGUGGUGAGGUAUGACUGCACUGUGCGCAGAAAAGAAUUAACCUUGUCCAAAGGAAGGUUUGGCUCAUGCCCCCAAUUCCUAGUAUAUAACCUCUAAGCCCUUGGACUGUCCUGCUUGAUAUGUUUACCUGGGGCCUUGGGCCAUGCCAGAUAGUCUAUACUAACAAAGUAAUUUAUGUUGGGGGCCUUGGGCUAUAUGGUAUCAGCUUGACUCUUGGAGGAGCUGGAGACAGAAGUCAACCUUACUGGUGAUCAGCCAUGUUUGUACGACUGAUCUCCAGUAAAAACCCUGGACACCAAAGCUUGUGUGAGCUUCCCUAGUUGGCAAUAUUCCAUGCAUAUUGCCAUAUGUUGUUGUUGGGAGAAGGAUACACCAUCCACACAAUCCCAAACUGGAACUCCAUAUCUGGAACUCUCCUGGACCAUGCCCUAUGCACCUCUUCCCUUUGCUGAUUUUAGUUUGUAUCCUUUCACUGAAAUAAAC